AACGAAGGGGGGCGGCAUGCCUAACACAUGCAAGUCGAACGAGACCUUCGGGUCUAGUGGCGCACGGGUGCGUAACGCGUGGGAACCUGCCCUUAGGUUCGGAAUAACUCCCCGAAAGGGGUGCUAAUACCGGAUAAUGUCUUCGGACCAAAGAUUUAUCGCCUUUGGAUGGGCCCGCGUUGGAUUAGCUAGUUGGUAGGGUAAAAGCCUACCAAGGCGACGAUCCAUAGCUGGUCUGAGAGGAUGAUCAGCCACACUGGGACUGAGACACGGCCCAGACUCCUACGGGAGGCAGCAGUGGGGAAUAUUGGACAAUGGGCGAAAGCCUGAUCCAGCAAUGCCGCGUGAGUGAUGAAGGCCUUAGGGUUGUAAAGCUCUUUUACCCGGGAUGAUAAUGACAGUACCGGGAGAAUAAGCUCCGGCUAACUCCGUG
rnacentral:rRNA from 1 species